rfam:Spinacia oleracea cultivar SynViroflay scaffold5459.con0012.1, whole genome shotgun sequence.
GAUGCGAUGAUGAGACAAAAACACCUGGAAGUGUUUACAGGCAGUGGACAAUAUCCAAUUUAUUGGGUAUUGCCGUGAGCUUUUCAAUUUAAACGACUUCUCCUUCCACUGAGCUCA